GUGAGGAAUUUUGCGCAAUGGGGGCAACCCUGACGCAGCAACGCCGCGUGAGUGAAGAAGGCCUUCGGGUUGUAAAGCUCUGUCAAGCGGGAAGAAACUUUUUCGAAUGAACAAUUCGGAAAAUUGACGGUACCGCUGAAGGAAGCACCGGCUAACUCCGUGCCAGCAGCCGCGGUAAUACGGAGGGUGCAAGCGUUAUUCGGAUUUAUUGGGCGUAAAGGGCGUGUAGGCGGUUUGACAAGUCAGGUGUGAAAGCCCUUGGCUUAACCAAGGAAGUGCACUUGAAACUGUCAGACUUGAGUACGGGAGGGGGAAGUGGAAUUCCAGGUGUAGAGGUGAAAUUCGUAGAUAUCUGGAGGAAUACCGGUGGCGAAGGCGACUUCCUGGACCGAUACUGACGCUGAGACGCGAAAGCGUGGGGAGCAAACAGGAUUAGAUACCCUUGUAGUCC
rnacentral:rRNA from 1 species